rnacentral:lncRNA from 13 species
AUGACUGUGAGGCCUCCCCAACCAUGCAGAACUGGCUGCUGGCUGUCCAGGAACCCAGAGGGUUCGGCAUCAUUCUCUUCCAAAAGGCUCCUCCUCAGCUUCUUGACAAUCCAGCCUGUGAUAUUUGAAGCACACAGAAAUACCACUUGCACACGGUUGAGAAAAGGGUCAUUGCCUCACACUGGGUGCGUGGUCAGCUUGGGCUGCGGUAACAGAUUGAAGACCAGGGGCUUAAACAACGGUGUCGCAUUCUCACACGUCUGGCGGCUGGCAUCCGGGAUCAAGGUGUCGGUGGAUCUGAAGGCUACUGAGGACUGUCUUCCUGGCUUGCAGCUGGGGAAGGAGCGUGCUCUGUGAGCACCCUCAGGGGAAGGAGGAAGCCCCUGGUGGCUGUACACAGAAUUCUGCAGAAGCCACUGGGUCCCAGGAGCCCUUCUGGCAAAUCACCAAGUGUGUGGGCCGUCCCAGGGACCACCACAACCCAGAACCAAAAGGAAAGAUGGAAACUGAGUAGCAAUCUAACAAAAACUGUCUCCGAUCCAGAAUCAGUUUGUGCUAUAUUUAUGAGUUGCCUUGGUUACGAAUAGUCAAAAAAUGUAGAACCCUUGUGGGCUUAGCAGAGCAGUCAUGAAAGACUGGCCUGGCUGAGCGUCGUGAAGAGAAUGCAGAGCGGGAC